rnacentral:rRNA from 1 species
CCUACGUGUGGCAGCAGUGAGGAAUAUUGGUCAAUGGCCGGAAGCCUGAACCAGCUAUUCCGCGUGUAGGUCAGUGCCCUAUGGGCGUUAAACUUCUUUUGUGCGGGAGCAAUAAUGGUCACGUGUGGCCAGACGAGAGUACCGUACGAAUAAGCAUCGGCUAACUCCGUGCCAGCAGCCGCGGUAAUACGGGGGAUGCAAGCGUUAUCCGGAUUUAGUGGGUUUAAAGGGUGCGUAGGGUGUGAGGUAAGUCAGCGGUGAAAUGCCCCGGCUCAACGGGGGGAAGUGCCAUUGAUACUGCCUUGCGGGAAUGCGGAUGCCGUGGGAGGAAUGUGUGGUGUAGCAGUGAAAUGCAUAGAUAUCACACAGAACACCGAUUGCGAAGGCAUCUCACGAAUCCGCGAUUGACGCUGAUGCACGAAAGCGUGGGUAUCAAACAGGAUUAGAUACCCUAGUAGUC